rnacentral:rRNA from 1 species
CCUACGGGAGGCAGCAGUGGGGGAUAUUGGACAAUGGGGGGAACCCUGAUCCAGCGACGCCGCGUGAGUGAAGAAGUAUCUCGGUAUGUAAAGCUCUAUCAGCAGGGAAGAAGAAAUGACGGUACCUGAGUAAGAAGCCCCGGCUAACUACGUGCCAGCAGCCGCGGUAAUACGGAGGGGGCAAGCGUUAUCCGGAAUUACUGGGUGUAAAGGGAGCGUAGACGGUUUGACAAGUUGGUAGCGUAACUCCGAGGCUCAACCUCGGCACUACUACCAAAACUGUCGGACUUGAGUGCAGGAGGGGCAAUUGGAAUUCCUAGUGUAGCGGUGGAAUGCGCAGAUAUUAGGAGGAACACCGGUGGCGAAGGCGAAUUGCUGGACUGUAACUGACACUGAGGCACGAAAGCGUGGGGAGCAAACAGGAUUAGAUACCCGGGUAGUC